GCUUCUAAUAUUUAAAUACUUUUGAUUUGAAAUCAGAAUGAUUGCUUUUAUCAGCAAUAGUAGCU
rnacentral:tRNA from 1 species